rnacentral:sRNA from 1 species
GUGGAACCUUGGGGGGUCCCCGGGGUCGGCGCCUUCCCAUUGACUGUGGGCGGUGCAAGGGACGGAGCCUCUGGCGGCUCGUGGGGGUGUUGGGGUCCGCAGGGGGAGGGAGGGGAGUGUCAGAGUGUGAGCGGGGUACGGGAAUUCCAAAUUUGAGGGCCUCCCGGCUCUGGCGCCGGGGAGGGAGAGCUCAGGCCGCCAUGCGGGACAGGACCCACGAGCUGAGACAGGGGGAUGACAGCUCGGACGAAGAGGACAAGGAGCGGGUCGCGCUGGUGGUGCACCCGGGCACGGCACGGCUGGGGAGCCCGGACGAGGAGUUCUUCCACAAGCCCUCUCGGUCACCCUCCCCAGGUCCGGACAAUUCGGCAGACUAUUGUCAAACUGGGGAAUAAAGUCCAGGAGUUGGAGAAACAGCAGGUCACCAUCCUGGCCACGCCCCUUCCCGAGGAGAGCAUGAAGCAGGAGCUGCAGAACCUGCGCGAUGAGAUCAAACAGCUGGGGAGGGAGAUCCGCCUGCAGCUGAAGGGUGAGCUCCUGGGACCUCAGACAGAUCCUUCCCUCUGAUCCUGCCCUGUUGUUGGUAUAUCUGGGGAGUGUGUGGCCCAGAGAAGCCAGUGAUAUAUCCAGGUCACACAGCAGGCCUGGGUCUAGCAUCUCUGUCUCCUGGCCUCCAGGCCAUUGUACUCUCCACAGCACAAGUCCGCCUCUCAGGUUCUUUUAUUUACAAUGAAACCAUUUACUUACACAGUUAUCGCUGCCCACUGGGCAUUCUUUGGGCAGGGAGAUGGAGUUUUGUUAGGUGGCCUCUGCAUACCUAUGGGAACUCAGUGAUGUAAUGCAAAGAA